rnacentral:rRNA from 1 species
UUGGCUCUAGUUGAUAGAUAACGGCGUAAAGAGUGGUUAAGGAAUAAUUACACUAAAGUCGAAGGCUCUCAGCGCUGUCAUACGUUCACGAGAGAGCGAAGCUCCACCACAAAAGUGACUUUAUCCCCCCUGAACCCACGAAAGCUAUGGUACAAACUGGGAUUAGAUACCCCACUAUGCUUAGCCAUAAACAUUGAUAGUUUCUUACAUACGCUAUCCGCCUGGGAACUACGAGCACUAGCUUAAAACCCAAAGGACUUGACGGUGCUUUAGACCCCCCUAGAGGAGCCUGUUCUAGAACCGAUAAUCCACGUUAAACCUUACCUUUUCUUGUUCGCCCCGCCUAUAUAUUGCCGUCGUCAGCUUACCCUUUAAAGGAAACACAGUAAGCAAAAUUGGUAUUACCCUAAACGCCAGGUCGAAAUGUAGUGAAUGAAAAGGAAAGAAAUGGGCUACAUUCCAUAAAACAGUGAAUACGGACGGCGGACUGAAAUGUCUACCUGAAGGAGGAUUUAGCAGUAAGAAGAGAAUAGAAUGCUCUCCUGAAAUAGGCCCUGAAGCGCGUACACACCGCCCGUCACUCUCCCCGACAACUACCACAACCCUACAUUAAACCUAUAUUU